GGAUGAACGCUGGCGGCGUGCCUAAUACAUGCAAGUCGAGCGAACAGACGAGGAGCUUGCUCCUCUGACGUUAGCGGCGGACGGGUGAGUAACACGUGGAUAACCUACCUAUAAGACUGGGAUAACUUCGGGAAACCGGAGCUAAUACCGGAUAAUAUAUUGAACCGCAUGGUUCAAUAGUGAAAGACGUUUUUGCUGUCACUUAUAGAUGGAUCCGCGCCGCAUUAGCUAGUUGGUAAGGUAACGGCUUACCAAGGCAACGAUGCGUAGCCGACCUGAGAGGGUGAUCGGCCACACUGGAACUGAGACACGGUCCAGACUCCUACGGGAGGCAGCAGUAGGGAAUCUUCCGCAAUGGGCGAAAGCCUGACGGAGCAACGCCGCGUGAGUGAUGAAGGUCUUCGGAUCGUAAAACUCUGUUAUUAGGGAAGAACAAAUGUGUAAGUAACUAUGCACGUCUUGACGGUACCUAAUCAGAAAGCCACGGCUAACUACGUG
rnacentral:rRNA from 1 species